AUCACCAUUUUCGAAAAAAGGAAUUAGUAAAGUCGGAAGACCACAGAACAAUGAAAUCCACCAAAAUAACUGUUACUGUUGUAACUCAUUUGUAACUUAAUCUGAAGAUUUUGAACUUUUGCAUAUCAAUGGUUCGCUGUUGUGGGUGCGAAAGUUUACAAUCCACAAAAUGAGAAGUGAUGGACCUCAUUACUUCAGUCAUUCCUGGGAAG